rnacentral:lncRNA from 1 species
CGAGCGAGAGGCGCACGACGAGCAUUUUUCUUUCUCGAUUCCCGGCUCGUUUUUUCCGUCAAUUCUUUUUCUUCGUUCCUUCCCUGUUCUCUCGCUCGCUUCUCUUCGCUGCUUCGUUCCCCCCUUUAUUCCUCCCCCGCUCCGCUCGCGCCAAUCGAUCUCCUUCCCCAUCUCGUCUCGAAGCUGCUAGACGCUUCGGGGGGCGGAAAUCGGCGCCCGGCCGCCCGACCAUGGUCUCCUGGCGGCGCAGCGCGUCCUGGCUGUCGUCCGCCUCCCGCUCCUCGCUCGGCGGCGCCGUCGGCGG